rnacentral:rRNA from 1 species
GACGAACGCUGGCGGCGUGCUUAACACAUGCGAGACGAACGGAAAGGCCCUGCUUUUGUGGGGUGCUCGAGUGGCGAACGGGUGAGUAACACGUGAGUAACCUGCCCUUGACUUUGGGAUAACUUCAGGAAACUGGGGCUAAUACCGGAUAGGAGCUCCUGCUGCAUGGUGGGGGUUGGAAAGUUUCGGCGGUUGGGGAUGGACUCGCGGCUUAUCAGCUUGUUGGUGGGGUAGUGGCUUACCAAGGCUUUGACGGGUAGCCGGCCUGAGAGGGUGACCGGCCACAUUGGGACUGAGAUACGGCCCAGACUCCUACGGGAGGCAGCAGUGGGGAAUAUUGCACAAUGGGCGGAAGCCUGAUGCAGCAACGCCGCGUGCGGGAUGACGGCCUUCGGGUUGUAAACCGCUUUCGCCUGUGACGAAGCGUGGGUGACGGUAAUGGGUAAAGAAGCACCGGCUAACUACGUG